rnacentral:rRNA from 1 species
UACGUAGGGGGCUAGCGUUGUCCGGAUUUAUUGGGCGUAAAGAGCGUGUAGGCGGCUAGGUAGGUCCGUUGUGAAAACUCGAGGCUCAACCUCGAGACGUCGAUGGAAACCAUCUAGCUAGAGUCCGGAAGAGGAGAGUGGAAUUCCUGGUGUAGCGGUGAAAUGCGCAGAUAUCAGGAAGAACACCCAUGGCGAAGGCGGCUCUCUGGUACGUGACUGACGCUGAGACGCGAAAGCGUGGGGAGCGAACAGG